rnacentral:tRNA from 1 species
CAAAGAAUCGUUUAAUUUUAAGAUUCUAGCUUUGGGAGCUAGAGAUGGAGGUUAAAAUCCUUCUUCUUUG